rnacentral:rRNA from 1 species
UACAGAGGGGGCAAGCGUUGUUCGGAAUUACUGGGCGUAAAGGGCGCGUAGGCGGCCUUCUAAGUCGAACGUGAAAUCCCCGGGCUCAACCCGGGAACUGCGUCCGAUACUGGAAGGCUUGAAUCCGGGAGAGGGAUGCGGAAUUCCAGGUGUAGCGGUGAAAUGCGUAGAUAUGAUACAGAACACCAAUUGCGAAAGCAGCUUACUAUGCUAUUAUUGACGCUCAGGCACGAAAGCGUGGGGAUCAAACAGG